AUGGCCAUAUCACAUUGAAACACUGGUUCUCAUACAUUCACUGAAGUUAAGCAACUUAGAGCCUGGUCAUUACCUAGAUGAGUGACUGCUUGGGAAUAUCAGGUAG